CAUCAUUCCUCCUCUAUCCAUUCUUUUUCUAAUACAUCAUUCAUACCAUAUAGAGGAUAAGUGACCUAUGAUCUUAUAGUUUCUUGGUCCAAAGUAGGUAGAAAGCCCCAAUGUUAAGAAGUGGUGUCCAACUAGGUGACAAAUAUCAAAUCAGAUUGCAAACUCCCCCCUAGCGAGCUAGAAUCGUCUAAACUCGGCACUCGCCCGUCCAUCAGAAGGAUGGGACAACCCCACGCACUUCCAGAUGCUCAAUGACAUAAAAUUAGGAACAAGGAACAACCUCUAAUCCAUAUAUUUAAUCUAAUUGGAUAAUGCUAAGUGGUGCCUAUAUUGUGGGGCAAAAACUUCUCCACACGCAUUGAUUGGUUUAGCUCAUAGAAAUUGGUGUGAUGCAUGGGGC
rnacentral:lncRNA from 1 species